UCCUCUAAGGUUUCUGAGCACUCUUCUCCUUGCAGAGACUUCUAUUCACUAGUAUACCUGUUUGCCCCUCAUCAAGUUCUGGCAUUACCCUCCAGUUCCUCCGGAAACUCCUGCUUCACUGCCAUUGAGCUGAGUGACAUCCUGCUCCAGAGGCCAGGGGGCAAGAACAUAAAUCAUGCUCAGCAGUGGAAGGAGAGGGGUGUCCGCACAAGAAGGUCAGGGAUGGAUUUUCCAGGAGGAGAGUUCAAAGUUUAAGGUUUCUGGGAGCAGCAGAUGGCGAGCAAGGGAAGAAGACCAGAUCGGCUACAAAGUGACAAAGCCUCUAAGUUACCUGCACAUUUUGAUUGUUGUAUUACAAUUAUGUAUGUUAACAUGCGUUGUCAAUCCCCAAGAGUGAAAGACUGUGUGGCAUUUCCACACUUACCUCAACACAGAACCCUCUGUGUGCCUCCAAGAAUAAUAAAAGCUAACCCUGAUUUCACACUUAC